rnacentral:lncRNA from 10 species
AUACAACCUGUCCCGAGGGCAGAAAGUCUGCAUGAAUGAUUUCUAACAUAGAGCAGUUGGGAUCACAAGUGGAACCAUGGGGAGGAGGUGGCUGACUUCAUGUGGAGGAGGUGAUUGGACAUGAGGAACUGAGAGGCCAAGAUGGUAUAUGAAUUGUCUGUGAGAACACUGAAAUAAUUCAUAAUAGCAGCACUUAGGUGUAGAGAAAGAUCUGUGAAUGAUGAAGAAGUGCUUGGAAGGAUGGUAAAUGGCUGUGAAGAAUGAUUGAAGGUGAUACAUCUCAGUGGCAUGAAUCCUCAAGGCUGAAGUUUCUAUGGAAGCAGGAUCUUGAAAGUGGCAUUCAUUAGGAAAUGAAAACUGCUGUCUCUGGAGUCCUAUAGUUUAUGGAGGGUGGAAGAUUAAGCCAAUCUCUACUUGAGAAGGCUACCAAGGAGAGAAACA